UUCCUUCCUUCCUUUCUUUCUUCUUUUCCCUGCAUCUCCCUUUCUUGCCCAGGCAGGAAAUGCAUUGGCUAUUUAUGGGCCUGAUACUACUGCUGAUCAGCACUGAAGCUUUGGCCUGCCCCGUUUCUCACCGAGACUGGUUCACCCUUCCUCAGGCAGUCUGAUGGAUCCGGGAUCCUACAAUUUCACUAGGUGGAUGAUAGACUUAGUGCAGACACCCAAUUAGUUUUAUCUCUACUGUUACUCAUAGCUCUUGAGCUAAAGUGAUUUACUAGCUUCAGUCUCUCCCAAUACCAGGGACCAAAAGUGUGUGCCACCAUGACCAACCCUGAUCUCUUUCUUAACCUCCAGCCCCACAACUCCAAAAGCCUGUUAGAUGGUUUCCACCAGAUGGUACCAAUGGCACCUCCAACUUAAUAUGUCAUCUUUUUCCUCUGCCCUCCAAAUUCCUACUUCUAUUUUCCCUAUUUCUAUCAUUUUUCCAAUCUCACAGGUCCAAAACCUUGGAGUCAUGCCCAUUCCACAGCAGCCCAAGGGAAUCUAUGUCUUUAAAGUUUCUACCACUCCACCCUGCCUUUUAACCCUCCCCAUCUACUCCAUAGGAUUUAGAUUUUGAAGGAACUUUAAAGGUCAUAGAGUCCAACCUUUGUCACUUUAUAGAUGAGAAAACUGAGGAUCAGAGAAGGAGCAUGUCCAAGGUCUUAAAGCAGGUGGCUACCAUGUUUCAUCAUGAGUCCUUGGGAACCGGGGUUGGUCACUGCAUCAGAGUUCUGAAGUCUUUCACAGUUGUUUGUUGUUUUGUCUACAAUAUUGUCUUUAUGGUAUAAAUUGUUUUGCUGGUUCUGCUCACUUCACUGUGUAUAAAUCUCCUCUGAAACUGG